rnacentral:rRNA from 1 species
CACGUAGGAGGCGAGCGUUGUCCGGAAUCAUUGGGCGUAAAGAGCGCGCAGGCGGCUUGGCAAGUCGGGUGUGAAAUCCCGGGGCUCAACCUGGGAACUGCAUCCGAGACUGCAUUGCUAGAGUAUGGGAGAGGAAAGCGGAAUUUCUGGUGUAGCAGUGAAAUGCGUAGAUAUCAGAAGGAACAUCAGUGGCGAAGGCGGCUUUCUGGACCAAUACUGACGAUCAGGUGCGAAAGCGUGGGGAGCAAACAGG